CUGCCAGUCCAGCCAUCUUCGGACCCACCACCCCCACUGUCAGUCCAGCCAUCUUCGGACCCAGCACCCCCACUGUCAGUCCAGCCAUCUUCAGACCCACCACCCCCACUGCCAGCCCACACUCGCAGCUUCAAUAAAAUAAGAUUCUUUACCACCUACUCCUAAAAAGUAAUGUUUUUCCUCCAUUUUGGAGAGAAGCUGCAUCUGCUUUAUCAUGGAUAGAAAAUUAUGUAUGAAGAAGAAGGCUGGAGAAGAAGAUGAAGAGGUAAUUAGUCCUGACAUCAUCAAAGACGUCCAGGUUCUGUAUCAUCCACCCAGUCAGGGCGACUGAUCUAUAGACCAGACCAGUGUUGUACUCAAAGAAAUGUGACAAAAAUUCAGUUUCUAAGGUGUUUUGAAGAGGCUCACUCCACUCUCGUCCAGCCCAGCGGGACCUCUUACCUUCUCGAUGGCGAGGUGUGACCCUCCGCACGUGGUGUUUAAGGUGGUCCCUUGAAAUGUAGAGCCGGACAAUAUCUUUGUCUGGGACAGAGUUCAGCAUUGCUGGGUUCUUGGCUUUGAUGGCCUUGAUGAGCAGCUCCAGGUCGGUGCGGUUAUAGGCCAUCACAGCCCCAGCUAGAGCCGACUUGAACACAGCAUCCUUGCAGUGUGCGUAUGGCUGCGUCAAACCGGUGGAUCCAGCGGAAGAUGUCCAGACGCACAACCAUACCAUUGUCUCCCCAAGGCUGGAACAAAGUCUCCGUCCCUGUUGGUCCCUGUGCACGGCAACACCCACGUUCCACAUAUAGGAUUUUGGGCACAGCUUGAUUGGCCAGCCGGAACCUUUCCAUGACUCCACGGCACAUUGGUUUUAGCUUCUCGGUGGACUCCUCACAGAAUACAGAAUAGCAUCACAGAAGUGGAGAGGAUCUGGUUCCGGUAAUCCUGCACAUUGUUGGCCUCUGCCAGCAGGACGGGGUGGUGCCGGAGCAGCGCGGAUGGAAGCGUUCUCUGAGGAGGUGGAGCCUGGAAUGUGUGUCCAAAUACAGAGACAAUCCCUCCGGUUCUGAUACAGUCACGAGGAGUGUGGUGUACAGAUCCUUACGAUGAAGGUACUCUUCAUUAUGAUUUUCAUGUAGCUGCCGCCACACUUUAAUCAUGGGGUUCCCUUGUACCAGGCAGCAAGUACGAAGGGUGAGAGCCCUUCCUCUUCAUCCUCUGAAGACAAGCAGCCUUCUACUCCAAGGCGGCAGCAAGUAUGGAGGGGUGAGAGCCCUUCGUCUUCAUCUUCUGAAGACAACCAGCCUUCUACCACCAGGUAGCAAGAACGAUGGGAUGUGAGCUCUUUGUUCUUCGUAGUGUUAUGACCCUGGGGUCAUAUUUAGUAAUUUGUCUUUCACCCUGCACUAUCAAGCAGCUGUAUUUUGUAGCUUGUCUUUCACCCUGCAAUAUCAAUUGAUCUCCUGAGGGUACACAGGUGAUGGACAACAGGUGCGCACACUGGAUUGGUCGCCUGGAGGACAGCAGCCAUUUUAAGCCUCGUCGGACAGGAACUCAGCCCCCUCUCUUCGCUCUGCCAUUCCCAACAUGUGCCUGUGUAAACCUGUGUCUUGUGUAAACCUGUGUCUUGUGUAAACCUGUGUCUUGUGUUCCAAGUUGGUGUGAGUAGUGUUAACAGCCUUCAGUGAAAAUGGUUGUUUUGAGUUCUUUGAUUUGUUAUCCUUCAGCCACUUUGUUUUAGUUGUGAAUACAUUUUUCUUUGUCUUAUUUUGCUAGUAGCAGUCUGGUAGGAGUGAGAAGUCCUUUUUUAUUUGCUCCCUUUUUCUCCUGUUUUGUUAUUAGAAGCUGAGGUUAGAGCUUUGUCUUUUCUUUACCUUUGGAUUAGGUAAGUUUAGUUUGCCUUUAGAAUUGUUUUGUUUGUUGUGUUGGGGCCUCAUCUCCGAAAUAAAUAGAAACUGCUACUUUGAAA